CGAUUUAUGUAACGUAGAAACAAAACCUAUUCAAAUAAAUGUCAUAAUAAUAAUAAUAAUAAUAAUAAUAAUAAUAACAGAUUGCGCAAUACAUCCGACUCUGAAUAAAAGUAAGAUUCGUUUAACUUAAGGAUUCUUUAAACUUCCCGUUAGUGCUCAUAAUUUCUAAAUAAAAGAGAGAUCCAAAUUCCCCAGAUCUCAGUCCAAUCGAGUAUCUGUGGAAUGUGCUGGACAGAAAGUCUGAUCCAUGGUGGCGCAACUCGCAGGACUUAAAGGAUCUGCUGUAACGUCUUGGUGCCAGAUACCACAGCACACCUUCAGAGGUCUCGUGGAGUCCAUGAUUUGAAGGGGACAGAGCUGUUUUGGCAGCACAAGGGGACCUAUAAAUAUUAUGCAGUCAAUUUCUGGUAUCACAAGCUCCUCUACUUCCUGAUCCACUUCCCCUGCCCAAUCUGGGCCGGGAAUGGGACAAGUUGCGUAACACAUCACGCACCAAAAAAUACCAUUUAUGAAGAGACUUCCACAAACAAAUUUGAUCAUGGAUCGAGGAAAGGAAUUGUCGUAAGAGAAGCGUGCGCAAAUCUUCAUUUUGCACAAACAGCAGAUGUCUAGUAGGGAAAUUGCCAAAAAAAACUGAACGUGGCGGAGUCCACUGUUGUCGCCACAGUCAAAAGAGCAACUGAACUAUACACACAAAUGUAUAGUGAUCGGAAAAUUUUGGCCAUGACUGUAUACAUGAAUAAUUAAUUGUGGUGAAGAAGACUGAUCUGUUUUUAAUGAGGAAAGGCAAAACCCCGCCUAAGAUGAGUACUCUAUGGAGAAAGUUUCUGUUAGGCUGGAAAGCUUGUUUGCCACGACAGUAGGAGAAACGCUAAAGAGCAACACAAACAGAAAACCACAAAAGUGAUGUGAUGAACACUGGGGGGUUCUUUUUUCUGUUUGACAUUGGCCCCGCCCAUCUGAACCUUUCCACAGCAUGGUCUCUUCCCAGGCUGGGAAGAGACCAUGAAGGCUGGGAUGAAGGCUGGGAUGGUUAAACUCACCUGGAGUGGAGGAUCAUCGAGAGACAAGAGGUAAGAUUACACGGGUUCGGCUUUUUGAGUUCAGGGGAAGACUGGGAUGCUUUGUAUUGCUCAAGACCGUAAGGGUUUGUCCGGCAAAGAAAAAUUGUGUGCACAAAGAGGACUCAUCACCAGAAAUAAAGUGAAGAAGAGUGCGUGUUUUCUUUGGGGCACUGAUCUGGUAUGGCCGGUUCUUUUCCCUAGACCCUGGGGUGGGGUCUUGUUUCCUGGAAGUGGGGAAAUGUUUUAUAUGUAAAUUUUCUGUUAUGUGUAGUGUGAAUGUUGUGGUUGUGAGGGUUUUCUUUUCUUUUCUUUUCUUUAAGUUGAUAUGUCCAUGUUACUCUGUGUACGCUGGACUGGGGAAAUGCUGAUUUUUCCACACUGAUUAGUGUUUGAUGCCGAUUUCUAUUGUGCCGUGUGGGUCGGGGAAUAACCACCAGGGUGCAGUGCUGAGCAGAGUUAGUGUUUUAGUUGUGUAUCGCCGUUUGGCCUAGUGAGAGCGUACAGAUUAUGUUUGUUGAACUUUUUUGAGUGUUUUAAUGGUUAUAUUUUUCUAAAUAAUAUUGUUAAUAAAUUGAUCAUUUGCUAUAAAGUCCUGGUGGUAUGAUGUACCCUCUGUUCUCCAUAAGUCUGGUUAAAUCUCCUUAAAAAAUGUGUGUGUGUGAAUAAACGUGUUAGCGUUUUGCAUCGGUGAGCUGAAACAAAUAGGCUUUCAUUGAUUUCCACAGGAUCAACAUUGUGUUUCAAAUGCCUAUUAAUUUCUAUUGCAGAGAUAAGGACGGGAGUGUAAUUUUAGCAGUUGGGAAAAUUACUACCCUGAAAUGUUACCUACUGUAUGGCCGGCGUCCUCAGCUUCAGCAGAUGUGACUGAAAUGAACUCAAUCUUCAGAGUAUUGUGCAGAACAGCCCAACUUAUUUUUUCUUAGAUCUUUUGAGUUUGCUGUCUUGAUUCUGUAAAGUGGAAAUCAUUGGCUAUCAAAGCGUUUGAGAAAUUAUCUGUGUAAGAAAAGCAGAAAUCACAUACAUACAGACUGUGUGUUGUGUGUGUGUGUAGUUAGGCAAGAGGAGUGGGAUUCUGCAGGACAGUGAGAAUUCUGCUGUGGAGUGGAAUUGGGACUCUGGAGUGCAUUGGGAAUUCUGCUGUGGAGUGGAAUUGGGACUCUGGAGUGCAUUGGGAAUUCUGCUGUGGAGUGGAAUUGGGAUUCUGCUGGGGAGUGGAAUUGGGAAUAGUGACAGUGAGUGGAUUUGGUAUUCUAUCGGGCAGUGGGAAUUGGAAUUCUACCAGGAAGUGGAAGUGGAAUUCGGCACAACACCACUUUAUCCCUUUAAUAGGCACACAAUGAAAUACUUGUGCAAAAAUAUUUUGUUAAUUCUUACUAAUUGGAUCACAUUCAACAGAAUUUCAUAUGGGUUCCCCCCCCCAAAAUUCACCCUUUAGAUUAGGAGUUAUGGACGUCUACCAGCUGGUUGAGUUGCCUGUUUAAGGUAACUGCUACAACACAGGACUCAAGACAGGAAGUAAGCGCAGGAGUGCAGUCUUUAUUUGCCACUUAA